GCGACACCGCUGCACUCAGACCGCUGCAAAGAUGGAGUUUGCUUGCAGCCAUGUUGUUUGCAACUGGAGUCCAGAUGGACCAGGCGUUUUUCCUAUGGGGCCCGAGUAUGACAACAUAGUGCCAGUAAAACAACAAGCAGAUGAGGUUCCUCCACCGCUGCCCCCUCGUCGACUGAGGAAACCUCGGCCUACUUCUCUUCCUCUUUACAACAAUUCCUCCUUCGAGCCUCCGUCUGCUCCU